GUGCUUUAGCUUCGUUACUAUGGCAACAGUCCAGAUACUUAUUGAUCAGACCUCAUAUAGGUUCCAGAAUAAAGAGUUGGAGGGGGUGGUCAGAUAUUUGGCAGUGGAGAAAAGAGAAAGGGUGCUAAAAAAGGAAAGAAAGAAAGAGGAGAGAUAGCAAA